rnacentral:rRNA from 1 species
GACGAACGCUGGCGGCGUGCUUAACACAUGCAAGUCGAACGAUGAAGCCGGAGCUUGCUCUGGUGAAUUAGUGGCGAACGGGUGAGUAACAAGUGAGUAACCUGCCCCUGACUCUGGGAUAACUGCUAGAAAUGGUAGCUAAUACCGGAUACGACCCUCGGAGGCAUCUCCAGGGGGGGGAAAGAAUUUCGGUCAAGGAUGGACUCCCGGCCUAUCAGCUAGUUGGUGAGGUAACGGCUCACCAAGGCGACGACGGGUAGCCGGCCUGAGAGGGUGACCGGCCACACUGGGACUGAGACACGGCCCAGACUCCUACGGGAGGCAGCAGUGGGGAAUAUUGCACAAUGGGCGCAAGCCUGAUGCAGCAACGCCGCGUGAGGGAUGACGGCCUUCGGGUUGUGAACCUCUUUUAGUAGGGAAGAAGCGAAAGUGACGGUACCUGCAGAAAAAGCACCGGCUAACUACGUGCCAGCCGCCGCGGUAA